rnacentral:lncRNA from 1 species
UGGGCUGUACUAAUCUACCUUUUUAUUUUUUUUGCACAUAUCUUCUCCAUCUGGACUGCAUUUGGACUGUUCUUGGGCUCGUUAGAUUUUAUUUUUUUAUCAUGGAUGUCAUUUUAUGAUUAUUAUGGAUCGAAUUUUGAGAUAUUUUUUUCAAUAAUCUCCAUCUUGAUUCGAUAUUCAGCCUUCACCUAUCUUUGAGAGCUUCUAGAUCUUCUCACACCCAUGUCCCAGGAUAAAUACUUGCUACUCAUUG